UGGGGAAUCUUGCGCAAUGGGCGAAAGCCUGACGCAGCGACGCCGCGUGAGCGAUGAAGGCCUUCGGGUUGUAAAGCUCUGUGGAGGGGGACGAAUAAGGGCAAGCUAACACCUUGUCUGAUGACGGUACCCCUUUAGCAAGCACCGGCUAACUCUGUGCCAGCAGCCGCGGUAAGACAGAGGGUGCAAACGUUGUUCGGAAUUACUGGGCGUAAAGCGCGUGUAGGCUGUUCGGAAAGUCGGAUGUGAAAGCCCCGGGCUCAACCCGGGAAGUGCAUUCGAAACUUCCGAGCUGGAGUCCUGGAGAGGAAGGCGGAAUUCUCGGUGUAGAGGUGAAAUUCGUAGAUAUCGAGAGGAACACCGGUGGCGAAGGCGGCCUUCUGGACAGUGACUGACGCUGAGACGCGAAAGCGUGGGGAGCAAACAGG
rnacentral:rRNA from 1 species